CUGAUGGCGGGCUUCAAGAGUAUUCAGAUUCCCACAGCGAACAGCAGUCAGUUUCCCACAGCGAACAAUCAGUUUCAAGUGAAGAUAACGUGGAUGCAAAUAAAGGAAAGCGGGGUAAGACAAGAUUACCAAAGCUUUUAAGGGAUACUAAUGGUGAAAGGCGGACUGUUACUUAUGAUGAAGCCAACCAAGCAACCGGUAAAAAUGGUUGCUUGCUCUCAAGUUACAUAGGCAGCGAAGUUGGUCCAAGUCUUGGACUGAAGUAUACCUGUUGGAAAGAAGUUCCACCUGUAGUGAAGAAAAAGUUAUGGGAGGACGUAACGUUUAAGUUUGAUCUCGACGAAUCAAAGAGGAAAGAUGUAUUGAGACAAUUUUCUGACUUGUGGCGAGGAUGGAGGAAACGAACUGCUGCAAAGCAUGUUACCCCAUUCGAAAAAAGCCGAAAAAAGCUUAAGAAUGUUCCUUCAGAUUUAAGAGGUUUUGUAGAACAAGAAGAAUGGAAAGAGUUUGUAAAACGGAGAUUGAGCGACAAA